CCAAAACAUUAAGAUAAAGCGUUAACAUAUAUUUGGAAUUUUUGCUGGGGUCUUGGUCUCUGACUGAUGAGUUGGCUGAAUGUAAUAAGGGUGAGGACUGACUGCCUGUGAAAGUCUUUUUUGUUCCAUGGUCAGUGAUCACAGGUAUUAGCUGAUGAACUACCUUGCCAAAGUAUGAGUCCAUCUACAAAAUCACAAAUAUCAGUUAAACAUCAUAUACUUGCCAUGCUCUACUGAAAUUGUAUAGCACCAUAAAAGAACAGGCUCCUUUUGUGUAGUCUUUUCACUACCCUUAAAAGAAACAACUAGCAAUACUGAUAAAAAUGGAAUAAAUGGAUUGCUAAAAACGUUUUCAAAGUUAUCUUGAUAUUGCAGAAUUGGCAACAUUUCCAUCAUGAAGAUACUGUUGAUAACACUAGCUGUGUUGCCAACUGAUCCUGUUAAAGAAAAUUAUGUGCAUAAAAGUGAAAAACUGUGUUUUUCAAUUGCCUUCCCACUCCUUUCCAAUCAAGAGUACGUCUUGUAGCAGUUUCAAAGGAAGUGCUAGAAGAUAUUUUGGACCUUGAUUUAUCUGUCUCAGAAACAGAUGAUUUUAUCCAGCUUGUAAGUGGUGGAAAGAUAGUAUUUGGAUCCAUUCCAUUGGCUCACAGAUAUGGCGGCCACCAGGUAAGAAUAGUACCAGGACUCUCCUGGUGGUGCAGUGGCUAAGACUCAGCACUCCCAAGGCAGGGGCCUGGGAUCGAAGCCUUCUUAGGGAACUAGAUCCCACACACCACAACUAAAAGAUUCCGCAGCCACAACACAUUGAAUAUCCCAAGGGCCUAAGACCUGGCACAGCCAAAUUAAUUAAUUACAAAAAUAGUACCAGUAUCACUUCCUUAUGCAAAUAUAAGCAGCUGGUGGAAAUGCUAUCCCAUUAUAGAAAUGUGUGCAUGCUAAGUCACUUCAGUCGUAUCCAACUCUCUGCAAGCCCAUGAACUAUAGCCCAUCAGGCUUCUCUGUCCAUGGAUUCUCCCAGUAAGAAUAUUGGACUGGGUUGCCAUUUCCUUCUCCUUGCAUUAAUUUAUCUAAUAUUAGUAUAUUGAAACUUCACCAAGAUGUUUCUAGAGCAAUGUGUCAUGAAAUGUUUAAUCUAUUAGCUGAUGUGAUUUCCUAAGUUUCUCUGAUAAAACUGAGGCAGCACAAUAUAAUAGAUGUGUGAAUUACUGCAAAAACUCAUUCUGUGGAGCUCUUGGCAAGAGAUUUAAGUGAAGUCAGGUUGCAUGAUGCAUCAGUAUAAAAGCCUCAGAAGGACAAAUAGAAUACAAUUUUGCCAGAAUCGCUGUAAAGCAAAGUUUUAGAACUGCUUUUAAUAGAAACUGGUAGAAAUUAAAUCGAUUAAUUGGGGAUGUUGUACAUGCAAAAGCAAUUGGAAAUAAAGCAAAGAUGUUGCUUUAUAUCUAAUGUUGUCUUCUACAAGUAAAGCAAGAUGUUGAAGCAAGUUCAAGGUGUGCAAUCUGACUGAUUUAAAAAAAAAGGAGGACACAGAACCAAUUGUUGAAAUUGCUGUGACUUUCUUGUGAGUUUGAUUAAUUUAAGAAAAUAGAGUGAUCUUUAACUUAGCAAGUAACCAUUAGCAAUAAUAAUAAUUACCAUUUUUGAGCACUUGGGUGCGUUGGACAUAGUGCAAGACAUUUUCAUAUAUUAAUAUUCAUUCUUACAACAAUCUGGCAAGGGUUUUCCCAUUUUAUGUAAGUGAAAAGUCAGUCUCACUGAGAUUAAGUAACCCAAACAAAUUUCCACAGCUAGUAAGUGGCAUAGCUGGGAGCUGAACAACCACAAACAAAUCUUAAUGCAAAAGUCUGAAACAGUUAAUCAUGUCCAUGCAAAAGCAAUUGGAAAUAAAGCAAAGAUGUUGCUUUAUAUCUAAUGUUGUCUUCUACAAGUAAAGCAAGAUGUUGAAGCAAGUUCAAGGUGUGCAAUCUGACUGAUUUAAAAAAAGGAGGACACAGAACCAAUUGUUGAAAUUGCUGUGACUUUCUUGUGAGUUUGAUUAAUUUAAGAAAAUAGAGUGAUCUUUAACUUAGCAAGUAACCAUUAGCAAUAAUAAUAAUUACCAUUUUUGAGCACUUGGGUGCGUUGGACAUAGUGCAAGACAUUUUCAUAUAUUAAUAUUCAUUCUUACAACAAUCUGGCAAGGGUUUUCCCAUUUUAUGUAAGUGAAAAGUCAGUCUCACUGAGAUUAAGUAACCCAAACAAAUUUCCACAGCUAGUAAGUGGCAUAGCUGGGAGCUGAACAACCACAAACAAAUCUUAAUGCAAAAGUCUGAAACAGUUAAUCAUGUCCAUUCAAAAGCAAUUUUUCCAGGUACAGUAUGUUCCUGGUUUUAUAUUGUAUAUGUAUAGUACAGGCAAAUUUUCUCCUGACAAUUAUUACUAGUUCAUGUUCUGGAAUUAAAUAGGUCAGUUGUCAGUAUUCUACCAAACAAGCUUGAGCUCAGCUAUAAAAUGAUGAAGAAAUUAAUUAUAUGUCUUAAAUUUAUAAUUUUAAAAUGAAUUUGACUUAUGGAUUGAAUUUUAUUUUCACCUUUAUUCAGGUUGUUGAUUAUUAUAAUCUUAAAAUGCACUGUUCCAGUAUCAUUUGACAAAGUAACUUUGAAUAUAAGAUUACAAUAAACACUUUAAAGUUUAAUAAACAUGAA
rnacentral:lncRNA from 1 species